UUAAAAGUAAAAACCAAAUAUAAAGUUUAAAAAUGGGAAUGUUUAAAAAGAUUUCGACAUUUUUUAAAAAUAAAUCUGAGAAAGUUACAAUUCUUGUCAUUGGCUUAAACAAUAGUGGCAAAUCAACAAUAAUAAACCACUUUAAGUCGCCACAUGAGCAAGCUGCAAUUACAGUUCCAACUGUGGGAUUUUCAUUAGAGCAAAUAAGAAGUGAAGGCGUUUUAUUUACAAUGGUAGAUACAUCUGGUGCAUGGCGUUAUAGAAGCUUGUGGGAGCAUCAUUUUAAAAAUUGUCAUGGUAUUAUAUACGUUAUUGACUCAAGUGAUCGCAUGAGAUUGGUUGUGGUGCGAGACGAACUAGACACGCUUCUACAACAUCCCGAUUUAGUAAAUAGAGGUAUACCCAUACUUUUAUAUAAUAAUAAAGUGGACUGCGAAGAUUCUUUGUCUAGUGUAAAAAUAGCAGCUGCAUUGGGCUUACACAAUAUUGUCGAUAAGCCUUGGCAUAUAACACCAAGCAAUGCAGUGACAGGCGAGGGCCUAGAAGAUGGUGUUCAUUGAUACAUAGUUUCUCGUGAUAGUGACAGUAAUAGUACAGUUUAAUUUUUGCAAUCCAGUGAAUCGUGUGCAUCACAAGCGAUACUAAAACAACAUGGCAUGCAAAGCUUCGAUUUUAGACCUUAAUGAUGAUUGUUUGACUAUAAUUUUAACAAAAUUAAAUCAGUGUGAUCAACGAGCGACAUCGAAACAAUUAUAUAUUGUCAUACUUUGGAAGAAGUAAUUUUAAAUGAAAACAUCUUGAAAAUAAUUAUU